rnacentral:rRNA from 1 species
AUUGAACGCUGGCGGCAGGCCUAACACAUGCAAGUCGGACGGUAGCACAGAGAGCUUGCUCUCGGGUGACGAGUGGCGGACGGGUGAGUAAUGUCUGGGGAUCUGCCCGAUAGAGGGGGAUAACCACUGGAAACGGUGGCUAAUACCGCAUAACGUCGCAAGACCAAAGAGGGGGACCUUCGGGCCUCUCACUAUCGGAUGAACCCAGAUGGGAUUAGCUAGUAGGCGGGGUAACGGCCCACCUAGGCGACGAUCCCUGGCUGGUCUGAGAGGAUGACCAGCCACACUGGAACUGAGACACGGUCCAGACUCCUACGGGAGGCAGCAGUGGGGAAUAUUGCACAAUGGGCGCAAGCCUGAUGCAGCCAUGCCGCGUGUAUGAAGAAGGCCUUCGGGUUGUAAAGUACUUUCAGCGGGGAGGAAGGCGAUAAGGUUAAUAACCUUGUCGAUUGACGUUACCCGCAGAAGAAGCACCGGCUAACUCCGUGCCAGCAGCCGCCGCGG